UACGUAGGUGGCAAGCGUUAUCCGGAAUUACUGGGUGUAAAGGGCGUGUAGGCGGGGAGACAAGUCAGAUGUGAAAUUCCGGGGCUCAACCCCGGCGCUGCAUCUGAAACUGUUUCUCUUGAGUACUGGAGAGGAAAGUGGAAUUCCUAGUGUAGCGGUGAAAUGCGUAGAGAUUAGGAGGAACACCAGUGGCGAAGGCGGCUUUCUGGACAGUAACUGACGCUGAGGCGCGAAAGUGUGGGGAGCGAACAGG
rnacentral:rRNA from 1 species